ACGGCUCAGUAACACGUGGACAACCUACCCUAAGGAGGGGGAUAACCCCGGAAAACUGGGGAUAAUACCCCAUAGACUACAGAAUCUGGAAUGAUCUGUAAUUGAAAGGUCCGCCGCCUUAGGAUGGGUCUGCGGCAGAUUAGGUUGUUGUUGGGGUAACGGCCCAACAAGCCUGUAAUCUGUACGGGUUGUGGGAGCAAGAACCCGGAGAUGGAUUCUGAGACACGAAUCCAGGCCCUACGGGGCGCAGCAGGCGCGAAAACUUUACAAUGCGGGAAACCGUGAUAAGGGAACCCCGAGUGCCCGUAAAUUCGGGCUGUUAACCUGUUUAAAAAGCAGGUGGAGAAAGGGCCGGGCAAGACCGGUGCCAGCCGCCGCGGUAAUACCGGCGGCUCGAGUGGUGGCCACUAUUACUGGGCUUAAAGCGUCCGUAGCUGGAUUGUUAAGUCUCUUGGGAAAUCUACCGGCUUAACCGAUAGGCGUUCAAGGGAUACUGGCAAUCUAGGGACCGGGAGAGGUGAGAGGUACUCCAGGGGUAGGAGUGAAAUCCUGUAAUCCUUGGGGGACCACCUGUGGCGAAGGCGUCUCACCAGAACGGCUCCGACAGUGAGGGACGAAAGCUGGGGGAGCAAACCGGAUUAGAUACCCGGGUAGUCCCAGCUGUAAACGAUGCGCGUUAGGUGUAUCGGUGACCACGAGUCACCGAGGUGCCGAAGAGAAAUCGUGAAACGUGCCGCCUGGGAAGUACGGUCGCAAGGCUGAAACUUAAAGGAAUUGGCGGGGGAGCAC
rnacentral:rRNA from 1 species